GCUGGGUACAGUGAUGCAUGCCUGUAAUCCCAGUGGCUCGGGAGGCUGAGGCAGGAGGAUGGUGAGUUCAAAGCCAGCCUCAG
rnacentral:sRNA from 1 species